AAUUCGAUUUGGUUUUCAAGAAGGAACUUCUAAUUUUUUUAUACAAUUUUUAUAAAAAAAGAUGUAGAAAAUUUAUUUUAUUUAAUAAUUAUAAAUUAUUGAGAAUUAGAAAAGUAUUCUAGCUAAAUUUGUGCCAGCAGCAGCGGUUAAACAAAUAGAGAAAUUCUUUUUUUAGUAAAAUUUAAUAAUAUUAUUAAAUUAUUUAUUAAAAAUAAAGGUGAAAUUUAUUUUUAAAAUUAAAUUAAUAUAAAAUUAAAAUUCUUGAAUUAAACUAGGAUUAGAUACCCUAUUAUUUAAGAGCUAUAUAUUGUUAGUAAAUAAUUAUUACGAAAGCAAAAAAUUAUGGCGGUAUUUUAAGCUUUUCAGAGGAAUUUGCUCUUUAAUGGAUAAAACACCUAAAUCUUACUUGAAUUUGUUAAGUCAAUUUGUAUACCACUAUAAAAUUAAUUAUUUGCUUUAAUUAAUAAAGUUUAUAAUUUUUAAAACAAAUUAAGUCAAGGUGCAGUAAAAAUUUAAGAAUGAAGUGAAUUACAUUUCUUCUAAGAGAUUAAUGCAAUUAAAAAUAGAAUUAGGAUUUGAAAGUAAAAUUAAAAUAUAAUGUUAAUUUGAAUAAAGCUCUAAAAUAUGUACAUAUCGCCCGUCACUCUUUAUUAAGAUAAGUCGUAACAAAGUUAAAAUACUGGAAAGUGUUUU
rnacentral:ncRNA from 1 species